AACGAACGCUGGCGGCAUGCCUAACACAUGCAAGUCGAACGAGACCUUCGGGUCUAGUGGCGCACGGGUGCGUAACGCGUGGGAACCUGCCCUUAGGUUCGGAAUAACUCCCCGAAAGGGGUGCUAAUACCGGAUAAUGUCUUCGGACCAAAGAUUUAUCGCCUUUGGAUGGGCCCGCGUUGGAUUAGCUAGUUGGUAGGGUAAAAGCCUACCAAGGCGACGAUCCAUAGCUGGUCUGAGAGGAUGAUCAGCCACACUGGGACUGAGACACGGCCCAGACUCCUACGGGAGGCAGCAGUGGGGAAUAUUGGACGAUGGGCGAAAGCCUGAUCCAGCAAUGCCGCGUGAGUGAUGAAGGCCUUAGGGUUGUAAAGCUCUUUUACCCGGGAUGAUAAUGACAGUACCGGGAGAAUAAGCUCCGGCUAACUACGUG
rnacentral:rRNA from 1 species